GACGUAGGGCGCGAGCGUUGUCCGGAUUUAUUGGGCGUAAAGAGCUCGUAGGCGGCUUGUCGCGUCGACUGUGAAAACUCGGGGCUCAACUCCGAGCUUGCAGUCGAUACGGGCAGGCUAGAGUUCGGUAGGGGAGACUGGAAUUCCUGGUGUAGCGGUGAAAUGCGCAGAUAUCAGGAGGAACACCGGUGGCGAAGGCGGGUCUCUGGGCAAUUCCUGACGCUGAGGCGCGAAAGCGUGGGGAGCAAACGGG
rnacentral:rRNA from 1 species